AUUGAACGCUGGCGGCAGGCUUAACACAUGCAAGUCGAGCGAGCGGCGGACGGGUGAGUAAUGUCUGGGAAACUGCCUGAUGGAGGGGGCUAACUACUGGAAACGGUAGCUAAUCCCGCAUACCAUCGGAUGUGCCCAGAUGGGAUUAGCUAGUAGGUGGGGUAAAGGCUCACCUAGGCGACGAUCCCUAGCUGGUCUGAGAGGAUGACCAGCCACACGGGAACUGGGACACGGUCCAGACUCCUACGGGAGGCAAAAGUGGGGAAUAUUGCACAAUGGGCGCAAGCCUGAGGCAGCCAUGCCGCGUGUAUGAAGAAGGCCUUCGGGUUGUAAAGUACUUUCAGCGGGGAGGCGGUACCCGCAGAAGAAGCACCGGCUAACUCCGUGCCAGCCGCCGCGGUAAUUC
rnacentral:rRNA from 1 species